GACGAACGCUGGCGGCGUGCUUAACACAUGCAAGUCGAACGGAAAGGCCCUGCUUUUGUGGGGUUCUCGAGUGGCGAACGGGUGAGUAACACGUGAGUAACCUGCCCUUGACUUUGGGAUAACUUCAGGAAACUGGGGCUAAUACCGGAUAGGAGCUCCUGCUGCAUGGUGGGGGUUGGAAAGUUUCGGCGGUUGGGGAUGGACUCGCGGCUUAUCAGCUUGUUGGUUGGGUAGUGGCUUACCAAGGCUUUGACGGGUAGCCGGCCUGAGAGGGUGGACGGCCACAUUGGGACUGAGAUACGGCCCAGACUCCUACGGGAGGCAGCAGUGGGGAAUAUUGCACAAUGGGCGGAAGCCUGAUGCAGCAACGCCGCGUGCGGGAUGAAGGCCUUCGGGUUGUAAACCGCUUUCGCCUGUGACGAAGCGUGAGUGACGGUAAUGGGUAAAGAAGCACCGGCUAACUACGUG
rnacentral:rRNA from 1 species